AAAAAACCGACGUUCCAGAGGACUGGAUACAGCUCCAAUAUUUGCUUCGGUAUAGUUACUAUGACUGGAUGCCCUUCCUAACACCAACUACUUUACAGAGUAUACUGGGUCCUUUUUUACGUGACACCAGUGCUAGAGAAAUUGACAAGUAACUUUCAGAACAAAACACUUUCAACUAAGCGUGGAUGCACUAUUGAAGGAAGCGGCUUUGUACCGAGUAUUGAGAAGCCUCAGCGUAAUAGACGGAGAUACAUGAAUGUUCCUGCUGCAAAGGAAUAAAGGAUGGCAGAGAUUAAACGAAUACCCUCAAGGAAGUACAUUUGUUACUGCAAUUGUAUCAGAAUAUUUCGAAAGGGGAUGCAGUACAGUCUCACUCCAGAAUAUCUAUGAUCAAGGGUCUUCCAGCCACGUCCAUCCAGUCUUAGAACUAAUGUUUCUAGGUUUAGCAAUUAUCUUUUAUUCAAAAUAUGAACAGGAAUAUAUUUAACAAAAGAAAAAC